UGGCUCACCCCGCUCCUGUGGCCAGCAUUUCACGCGCGGCCAAGCAUUCCUUUCCACCUUACGGGCAGCCGCAGUAGUGCUCUGCCACUUCCUUUCCAGGCGGCGACAUUGGACGAGGAUGCUCGAUGCCCCGAUCCGGUGCCGGAUGCGGAGGCAAGGCCGUCUUCGUCUCGCGCAACCAGCCAUAAUGCUCCCUGAUGCUCCCUUUGAGAAGGUGGACGCGGAUGCCCAACCGGGGGCCUGAUGCAGAGAAGAUGCAUCCCGUAUGUGCAGCUGUAGCAACUCUGCCCAAUGUUGUGCGCAUUUGUGCUUGGUCUUAUAAUUGUUUCCAUCAGCCCGAUGAUUUGAAGUUACAUAGUCCAACGUGGUGCUGGAACAUCCAAACGAAGCUCGCUGUUGAUGAUGGGCAUAAGGCCUUGGGGAAAGUUCAGGUGUUACGGACAAGUUAAACCUUGCAAUCACCAAGCCAGAAUGACAAAAACAGACCUUUAAAGGUUGUAGGCAACUGCCACAGCGAUUGCUCCAAACCAUGUUUGAUCAUUAGAUUUGUCGUUGCCUUUUAGCCUCGACACAUUUCUCGCUUGCAUGUUCCAGUCUGUUGUGUAGGUGGCAUACAUGAAUACAUCGGGUGGCAUGGAUGUUCAGUUAGACUUUAGAUUGUCAUUGGAACGAUUGAUGUUAUACAGUGCACAUUUUUCAGAAUUAUACUGAGAAAUGUAAGAAAUUUUAUCUGGGAAGAUAUCCACAACAAUGACCA